rnacentral:rRNA from 1 species
UAUCUCUGUAGAGUCUGCAUAUCAAUAAGCGGAGGAAAAGAAACUAACUAGGAUUCCCUCAGUAACGGCGAGUGAAGCGGGAAGAGCUCAAAUUUGAAAUCUUCAAGGUUCUACCUUGACGAAUUGUAGUUUAAAGAAGUGUUUUCUGUUGGAGUUUUGGUAAAAGUUCUUUGGAAUAGGACAUCAUAGAGGGUGAGAAUCCCGUAUUUGACCAUUAUUUCCAGCUUUGUGAUACACUUUCAAAGAGUCGGAUUGUUUGGGAAUGCAGUCCAAAAUGGGUGGUAAAUUUCAUCUAAAGCUAAAUAUUGGCGAGAGACCGAUAGCGAACAAGUACCGUGAGGGAAAGAUGAAAAGAACUUUGAAAAGAGAGUUAAACAGUACGUGAAAUUGUCAAAAGGGAAGCGUUUGACACCAGUGUUGUUUUCUCGAAAAUCAAUUAAAAAUGGCUUGAUUUUGUGUUGUAUUGACCUUAAAAGCUUUCUUCACUUUUUUCAUGUCUUUUUUAAUGCACUUUUCGUUUAACAAGUCAACAUCAGUUUCUUUUGUUGUAAAAAGGUCAUUGGAAGGUGGCUUUCCUUUCGGAGAAAGUGUUUAUAGCCUUUGACUUCUGCAAUCGGAGAGACUGAGGUCUGCAGCGUAGAUCCUUCUGGAUUAGAUUCAUUUGUGCUAAGUUACAACCGUUUAUAGACAACUUGUUGACUAUAUUCGAUCCUGUAGCUUACUCGCUUAUGUAAUUUUACCUACGCUUAGGAUGUUGAUAUGCAUGACUGAUAU